CUGCCUGCCAAUGAAGUUUCUUGGUAGGUUCAGCCACAAAAGCCUUCUCAAACAAUACUUCAUGUAUUAACCAUGCAAUAAAAGCUCAACAACUGCUGAAAAGAAUCAGAAACUAAUACUUUUAAUCUGAGACAUGCAUGAUUCUGGGGGGAACAAAUUUGCCUCAGACAAUAAUUCUUUUUGUUACAUCUUAAGACUCAUUUUUCAAGGUUCUAAUUCCAUUACUAUAAUAAACCUAUUAAACAUAUGCUAUCCCCUCUUCCCCCACGUUUUCCUGUCUCUACAUUGAUAUUCUCUCCUUUCUCAUUUCUUCCCCAGUCUCACUAUUUUUUUUAUAAGUGUAACCCAUGCAAUAUAUACAAGUACAUGUAACAAGGGUAUCGGAUAGAAUGGAUGACUGUACAGACAAUAAACAAGUCUCACUAUAACAGCAAGUGUUGCAGGUAUAUAGUCAUAUGGGCAAUCGAUUACUUUUCAACAUGCAAAGUACAUGCAAUUGGCCACUAGUUUGGAUAAGGUAUACUUUAAAAAAGGAUUAAAAAUAAUUUAAAAUGCUACAAGAAGUUGUAUGAUAAAAGUUCUAUUUGAAGCCUUGAAUUACGAAUGUAUGGUCCAUUAUUUGGUGCAACACUGUAAAGUCUCAGGCUACGAAAUGCAAGUUGGAGAAUCAAAUCUUAAAAGCAGCCACUUCAUGCAAAAGAUGUUGAAGGAUCGGAUCACAUACAAGACACCUCCCCCAACCACCACCAUUGCCCCCACCCCCACCCAGAAAAGAAUCCACAUAAGAGGGACCAGUAACCCUCUAUUCAAGCAGAGUGAUAGAUAGAAAUCAUCAGCAUCUAUUUGGGUUUAACAGACAGCAUCCCAUAGAAUAGUAAAGUCCCAAAAGAGAGAGUAAAACAAAAGGCACCCUAGUGCCUCUGGAGAGUGAGAAGACAGAGCACCAAACCAAUUGAAUAAAAAUUUGGAUAUACCUGUGGAUUGGAGGUAUAGAUUGAAAGCUUAUCUAAGAGAGCCUCAAUUCCACCAGCUUCCAUUACAAUGAGUUUGUUGUUAGCAUGGAAGGAAGCAAUUAUUGAUAGCAACCACAACGCAACAGUACCCCCCAAGACAGAAGCUGGAUCAGGAACAUCAAAACCAUCUCCUUCCUGGAAUGCAGUUCUUUCCAUAAAUCCUCUAGGAGUUUGAACUUCUAUUUCCAAAGAUGAACAAUUAGAAUUGACCUUCACCAUUUCCACUAAAGCAUGUGUAAGUGAUUUUAAAUAUCUGGAUACAUCCAGUGCUUCCAUUGACUGCUGUUUGUGUUCUUUUAGAGCACAAAUGAGCAAUGCACACCCUCCGACUCUCACUUCUAAACUGGAUGAGUUCAUUAUCCUGUUAGCUAGUGCACCAAUGGUUCUUGGUCUUGCAACCAACAAAUCACCCAUCACAACUGGUUGGUCCACACAAAGCCUAGACAAAAUUUCUAUUGCCUUGUCUUGCACAGGAGGAUGCCCCUCAGCCAGACAGUGGACAAGAGUCCCUAAGCUUGAGGGAACUCCGGCAAGGACAGACCAUGGAGGGUAAGUGAGGUGCAUACCUUGUUUGGUCCUAGCCAAAAGUGCAACUACUUCUAAAGCAUCAGUCCCAUCCAUAUCCAUUGCAUUUAAAGAGUCAACAAGUGCUAGAACAGCAGACCGACACUGAGCAAUUCCGGUGAGUACAUCACCCACUGGAAAAUGCUUCAGCAAUUGAUGGAGAGCACGUGAAGCAUUCUGCUUACCUUGGGAAGUUCCUUCUCUAAGUACUUUUGUCAAAGCCGAAACAAUAUCUUCUGCCAGGGCUUCUGCAGCAAUAUGGGAAUCAGAGAGAAGAUUAGCCAGUGCAGCAACUGCAGUUUCGGCAGCAUCUAUAGAAGAAGUUUUAGCCAACUUGAUUAGAGGCUUCACAUCCCCCUCAGCAAGAUAAGACAUCCUGUUUGUAGUUUUAGUCUUAGUUGGACGGGACAGAGCACCCAAUGCCCGAGCUGACUGUGUUGCAACAACUUGAGUUUUGCUGGUUAGAAGCUUCAUGCAAGGAUGAACAAUCUCAUCAGUUGCAAGAUUAUCACAAAUAUCUUGUCUUAUACUGAACAGAUCAGCUAGGACGGAAGCUGCAUACUCUUGUGACUCUUCAUUUGAUGAGUUAAGAACCUCGACAAGAGAGCUCAGACCUUUAUUUGCUGCAGAACCCUUAUACACAAGAUCCUCAUGUGAUGCCUUUAUGAGUACAUGGCCCAAAACUCUAAUUGUAUGGGCCUUUGAGCUAGGAGAAUCUCCAAGGAGUAAAGCCAGCAACUGAUUAAUGGUAGCAGAAUCAGCUGUUCGGAUAAGCUUUGUAAGUGCCAAAGCGGAGGCUUCUUGCCCUCUUGAUCCACCACUUUUUAGAAGCCAUAAGAAUGCCGGGAUUGCCCCAGCACUUUCAACACAAGCACGGAUGUCCUCACUGUGACAGCACAAGUUCCACAGAACAUGAGCCGCAUCCUCUUUUGCCUUCUGAGAUCCUAUCUCUAACAACUGCACCAGGGGAGGAAUCCCUCCAGCAGCUGUGAUUGCCCACUUGCUGUCAUCAACUUGAUCAGUUGAGAUUGCAAGCAAUUGAACAGCAUAUUCUUGAUGCUGCUCACUGGAUAAUACCAGCAACGAUAUCAGUAACUGAAUUCCUUCUCUCUUUCCAAUUGCUUGCCAGAUGCCUACCCCAUCACAGCAUAAGCUUGUCAAAGAUAGUAUCAAAGACUCUUGCACAUCACCAGUAGCCAUUGUUAUGAGUCCGGUAAGCACCUUCUUUGCUUCUGCAUGACUUGCCCAUCUUGAUAGAUAGACAUUACCAUAUAGGCUAGCCAUAGCCUCAAGGACACGCUCUUGGACCAGCUUAUUAUCUCGAGGCUUUAGUAGCAUUACAAGAAUAUCUUCUAUCUGUGUCACAUCAAGAGGUUCUUCAUUCACAUCAGAGUUGUGCUCAAAUACCAUCAGAGUGUAGGCAAGUGCUCCAACUAUAUCAGCAACUGGUGCCGCCAGGCGAGGGGACUGUGAAAGUUCCCCAAGAUAUAGUAUUAAAGCAGACGUCCCACCACAGAUAUUUGCUAAAGCUCGUGUUGCAUGCCCCUGUAAAGCCUGACCACUUUCACCUUGCAUACCCUCUUUAGAAGGAGCAACUACAGCUCCAAUAAGAACCGGAAGACCAUUAUCAUCAACAAUUGCUUUCUUUGCCGUGGUUAAUUUGGAAGAAAGAGCCUCUAAAGCAUCUGCAGCACUAGCACGUACAGAAAUAUCAUUUUCCUGGCUUAUGAGCUGAAGCAAAGCUUUGACAGCUCCAGAAUCUAUUACUUUUGGGAUGCUAUCACUAAAAGCCAACAUCAGGCGGGCCAACAGAGAAGCUGCAUUUGAUUGAGAAGCAGCAUUAUCAGAAGAAAGAAGACCCACAAUGAUAUCUACUCCUCCAGCCUCAAGUGUUGCUCUCCAAUAACCAUCCUUAUCACCACAAAGAUUUCUCAAAGCCCCAGUAACAAAUCCCUCAACCACUUUGUCCUGCCUGUUCUUUGGAUUGAGCUGAUCCCACAAGGUUGGUACGACACCUUCUGUCACAAAUAUUUUCAUACCAACAAGAUCAUCUGAAAGCCCACCAGAGGAAACUUCAUAUAGUGCCUCUGCUGCUGCCUUCCUAGCCUCAAUUGAUUCAGACUUCAAGAGUGAGAGUAAUGGGGGGAUGCACCCACCUAGAAGCACCUUUAACCGUAAUUCUUCAUCUUUGCAUAGAAGACUAAGAGUUGCAGCAACAUUAAAUUUUGCUACAGAGGUGCCACUCCUGAGGAUGCUUAUGAAUAAUGGCAUUGCUUGGCCAUGGGAACCAAUUAGUGUCCUCGCAUCCUUUCUUGCUCUAGCAAUACCUAGCAAACGUGCUGUAAUAAGUUCUUUCUCAUGUUGUGAGGACAUGUUGGCAUGCAGUUGCUCAAUAAAAUGAGCAACAGUAGCCAUUGUGCAUUCUGAAUCA